rnacentral:rRNA from 1 species
UACGGAGGGGGCUAGCGUUGUUCGGAAUUACUGGGCGUAAAGCGCACGUAGGCGGCUUUGUAAGUUAGAGGUGAAAGCCCAGGGCUUAACCCUGGAAUUGCCUUUAAGACUGCAUCGCUAGAAUCGUGGAGAGGUAAGUUGGAAUUCCGAGUGUAGAGGUGAAAUUCGUAGAUAUUCGGAAGAACACCAGUGGCGAAGGCGACUUACUGGGACACGUAUU